UACGGGGGGAGCAAGCGUUUGUUCGGAUUUACUGGGCGUAAAGGGCGCGUAGGCGGUCGUGACAAGUCACUUGUGAAAUCUCCGGGCUUAACUCGGAACGGUCAAGUGAUACUGUCGGACUAGAGUACAGAAGGGGCAACUGGAAUUCUCGGUGUAGCGGUGAAAAUGCGUAGAUAUCGAGAGGAACACCUGCGGCGAAGGCGGGUUGCUGGGCUGAUACUGACGCUGAGGCGCGAAAGCCAGGGGAGCGAACGGG
rnacentral:rRNA from 1 species